UACGUAGGGGGCAGGCGUUGUCCGGAAUCAUUGGGCGUAAAGAGCGUGUAGGCGGUUUGGUAAGUCCGCUGUGAAAGUCGGGGGCUCAACCCUCGAAUGCCGGUGGAUACUGUCGGGCUAGAGUCCGGAAGAGGCGAGUGGAAUUCCUGGUGUAGCGGUGGAAUGCGCAGAUAUCAGGAGGAACACCGAUAGCGAAGGCAGCUCGCUGGGACGGUACUGACGCUCAGGCGCGAAAGCGUGGGGAGCAAACAGG
rnacentral:rRNA from 1 species